rnacentral:lncRNA from 1 species
GUAGUGAAUGAGUUUGCAUUUUUGACUGAGAAGUGUUUUAAAAGCCUCUUAAAGUUCUGUAGGAAAAAAAAAAGUCUUGAUUACCAGGAACAUUUGGGAAAUUGGAGACCUGGUUCUUAUUUGUUAUAAGUCAAACCCCUUUCAGUUGUAAUUCUUGGUGCUAUUUUGCCUGAACCACAUCUCUCUUUUGCGUCAAUAGGUGAAAGGUGGCAAAUGGGAUAUGCAUUUUGUACUGCUAGGAUUGAGGACUAGAGACACCGGUUUGGGAAUCGAGCAAGGGAUCUGGAGCAGAGCCUUCGUAAAUCCCCAUUUAUCUGCUUGCUUUCAGAGAAUUUUGUUUUUCUCCAAAAGCAGAGGGUAAAAAUAGUCAAUUAAAUGAAAGUUUCUUUUUGCUGAAUUCUGAUUAGUUUUCUCUUUCCUUCUGAAGUGCUAAGAAUAUUUUCUUAGCAGUAAUCGAGAAUAUUAUAAAUGUUGCCGUAGAGAGAGGUUUUGACCACAUUUGCAGGUUUCUUCCUGCUUGAGUAGG